rnacentral:ncRNA from 2 species
AUUUUAUCCAGCGGCUGGGGUUUCGCUUUACGCGAAGUAACAGGGAAUCGUGUGUAAAUCACGAGCUGUCGCGCAACUGUGAGUAACGCAUAAGUUUUCGCCGAUAAUGCCCACUGUUCCGGCAACGGAACGGGAAGGGCGGCGAAAGCGUUACGAGCCAGGAGACCUACCUUAUCCGCCACGGCGAU